UGGGGAAUUUUGGACAAUGGGCGAAAGCCUGAUCCAGCAAUGCCGCGUGUGUGAAGAAGGCCUUCGGGUUGUAAAGCACUUUUGUCCGGAAAGAAAUCCUUGGCUCUAAUACAGUCGGGGGAUGACGGUACCGGAAGAAUAAGCACCGGCUAACUACGUGCCAGCAGCCGCGGUAAUACGUAGGGUGCAAGCGUUAAUCGGAAUUACUGGGCGUAAAGCGUGCGCAGGCGGUUUGCUAAGACCGAUGUGAAAUCCCCGGGCUCAACCUGGGAACUGCAUUGGUGACUGGCAGGCUAGAGUAUGGCAGAGGGGGGUAGAAUUCCACGUGUAGCAGUGAAAUGCGUAGAGAUGUGGAGGAAUACCGAUGGCGAAGGCAGCCCCCUGGGCCAAUACUGACGCUCAUGCACGAAAGCGUGGGGGAGCAAAACAGGAUUAGAUACCCUGGUAGUCCACGCCCUAAAACGAUGUCAACUAGUUGUUGGGGAUUCAUUUCCUUAGUAACGUAGCUAACGCGUGAAGUUGACCGCCUGGGGGAGUACGGUCGCAAGAUUAAAACUCAAAGGAAUUGACGGGGUCAUAGCUGUUUCCU
rnacentral:rRNA from 1 species